GGUGCAGGGUGCUUCGCGGGCAACUGGGGCAGGUUCAUUCUCGCCACGUGUGCUUCAGGUGUGUGACAGGUACCACAGCAUUGCUGAGCAAAGGGGCUCAAAAUCCAACACGUCAAGCGGUCAGCAACAAACAGCACUCUCUCACCCUGCGUGUUCGUGACCUCGCUUGGAGCCGAGCCCCGCACUGAUCCGAGGCGGAUGGAGGCGACGCCACGGGGCUCCAUCGCGCUCUGGUCGCGCCGGGAGAAAGCCAGGGUGGUCCUCAUGUCCGUGUUGCUGGUGCCCGCGCGGCUGCUGCUCUUCGCCUGCGCUGCGUGCGCCGCCUGCGCGCUCGCCCUCGUCUCCAGCAUCGGCACGCAGCUGCCCCGGCCCCCCUC